ACUAACACGGGAAAGUGCCCUUUUUAUUGAAACUCCAAGAACUCAAGUGUGUGUGGCUGCGCAGAGGUGCGCAUGUUUGUGUGAUGUUGUGUGGCUCCUGUCCAUCAGUUAAAUCCAUGCCAGUGUGUGGUUCCCUUCCUUGUACAGUCACGUGAAAGAGGUCAGGGCUUUCUGUUUAAACGUGGUUAAGUUUAUCUUGAUCCUUUUUGUGUUCCAGGACUUGACAUGGCAGGUCAGGAAGUGACAAGGCCAGGGCAUAGGAACCAGACAAGCCUCUGUUUGAGUCCUCAGCAAUCACUCUGAAAAAUCAUUUUGCUUUCCUCCUCUUCCAUGGAAAAAAACCUUAGGCUGAUAAGGAGGCUGGCUUUUUAUUCCCUGAGGUGUGCUGCACCGCUGUCCCCGGUUUUGGGGGUGGUGCAAAGGUCUUGUAUGUUUGAUGCGGUUGUAAUGGGUACCAAGAGCUAGAGGUGGGAGAAGCUGUUUCAUAGCCCGUAUAUCUCGUCCCAGAGAAUAGUGGGGAAUUUGUUCUGUUGAGACUUCCCAUUGUUUUCCCCCUUGUUCUUUGGGGCUUGUUCUGACAUGGGAUUCUGAUAAAUGUCUUGAGAACAUGCUGUUCAAGACGCGCUCUGUCUUAGGCCUCGGGCCCCAUCUUUUGCUGGGACAGCUCAUGUGCCACUUGCUCUGAGCUUGUCUUGCACAAAGGUGAAAGGCUUCUCGAACAGGAGGUCCCAGGGGCUAGUUUUCUAGCUGCUUUACAGGUCAGAACAAAUGAAGUGUGAUUGGCAGCUGCAGGGUCCUUGUUUAAGAAAUAUGUCUGUGUCACUGAGUAGUCUGACUGCCAUGUUGCUUGUUGCAGACUCUCCAGAGCUGUGGUUAGAUCCAGACGAAGGUCACUCAGCUGGAUACUUACCAAUGCUCAGCCUUUGGGCAGGUGGGGAAGAAGGCUAAGCUGCUGACUCUGGCCAAAAGCAAGGCCUUCCCAGGAAUCCUGGGCACAUGCCCUUGGUUGAGAGAUGCUCAAAUGAAAUCCCAUCUCUGUGCUAUUUAUUCAGCACAUGGUAGUCUCCAGUACUACUUGUUAGGCACCAUCAACUCUUGAAGCUCAGGGUGGGAGUUCAUAUCCCAUGUGGAGAGAGAAUGGUACUUACAGAACUUUAGGAUCCUUUCUUUUUCUUUAUUUGCCAAAGGUCUAACUUUUAAAGUGUCUGAACAGGUUUUGCUGCACUUGACUUCGUGAAAGCUCAUUUACAAUGCACUGAUGGACUGACUCCUCCCCUUCCCUUGUCACCUUGUGCUUUCAAUGCCCCUUGCCAUGGUAUUGGGAAGCUGUGUGUGUUCUCUGCUAGGGGUGUGUGUGCAGGGGGUGGGGUGUGACAAACACACGGUACCUUCUGAAGUGUAGUUCUUAAAUACAACCAAUGUUGAACAACA